CUCUAGUAGUGCGCACCUUCUCAGUCUAGUCUCUAGUAGUAUAACCUUAUCAUGCACACCGCCAGAGAGACUAGACUGAGAAGGUGCGCACUACUAGAGACU
rnacentral:pre_miRNA from 1 species